rnacentral:rRNA from 1 species
GACGAACGCUGGCGGCGUGCUUAACACAUGCAAGUCGAACGGGUCUGCCCUGUUUUUUGCGGGGUGGGUCAGUGGCGAACGGGUGAGUAACACGUGAGUAACCUGCCCCUCACUUCUGGAUAACCGCUUGAAAGGGUGGCUAAUACGGGGUGUUCUGGCUGUGCCGCAUGGUGCGGCUGGGAAAGAUUCACUUUUGUGGUGUUUUGGUGGGGGAUGGGCUCGCGGCCUAUCAGCUUGUUGGUGGGGUGAUGGCCUGCCAAGGCUUUGACGGGUAGCCGGCAUGGGAGGGUGGGCGGUCACACUGGGACUGAGAUACGGCCCAGACUCCUGCGGGAGGCAGCAGUGGGGGGUAUUGCACAAUGGGCGGAAGCCUGAUGCAGCGACGUCGCGUGAGGGAUGGAGGCCUUCGGGUUGUGAACCUCUUUCGCCGGUGAAGAAGGUCCUGCUCUUUGUGGUGGGGUUGACGGUAGCCGGGUUAUGAAGCGCCGGCUAACUACGUG